AGAACAUCAAACUGUCAGUGGUAUGUAGUAUGAACUAGAAGAAGAUGGAUCUUGAAGAAGAAAAAAGAUCAGUUUACCUCAUUCAACCUUCACUGCAAUCAAGGAGGAAGCUUUAUCAUCCCUAUCUGACAGAACUGAGGACAUGGCUGAAGGAGAUUAAAAGCACAUUUGGAAAUACCGCUUUAGAUACUCUACAAGUUAACCUUGGAAUAAACCAGACUAUCAGAGGGCAUUGUCACUCACUGACGGAUUUCUUUCAUUCCUCUCUGCUUUGGCAUUAGGCAGUCAGCCACAUCAAGAGACUUCAUAAGAAACAGCCCUGUAACUCAUUUGUUGCUUUCCUGUAAGAAUGUUGUCAAGGACAUUAUUUACUUCAUUACAAAGGGUCUUCUUUGUGCUGGAGAAACUUCUCUCAGAUCUCUGUGCCAGGAAGAAUGGUGUUUCUCUCAAACACUGGGUUUGAUAUUACAGAUAGUAUAAACUAUAUAUCCAGGCACAUCCUCCUUUAGUGAGUAUAUACAAACUGGCUUCACUUCAUUUUUUUCAUCUUCCAACUUCUCCAUAAUAAUAUUUACUUUUAAAAAUGUUCUUAACAAUGAAUAUGACCAAGACAAUUUGAGGAAACCAAUCAUAAACUUUGUGUCAAUAUAGUAAGCAUGUUUCCUGCAGGGAGAUACCACUGUUCCCACUAAAAUAGAACACAACAAAAGGAGGCAGGAGAGAAAUGAAUGACUUAGGACCUGUCUAGGUUGAAAAGGCAAACUAGAAGUGGGGCACACCUAACUUGUUUAAAAAGACUUUGUCAACUAUUA
rnacentral:lncRNA from 1 species